UACGAAGGGGGCUAGCGUUGUUCGGAAUCACUGGGCGUAAAGGGCGCGUAGGCGGCUUUGUAAGUCGGGGGUGAAAGCCUGUGGCUCAACCACAGAAUUGCCUUCGAUACUGCAUGGCUUGAGACCGGAAGAGGUAAGUGGAACUGCGAGUGUAGAGGUGAAAUCCGUAGAUAUUCGCAAGAACACCAGUGGCGAAGGCGGCUUACUGGUCCGGUUCUGACGCUGAGGCGCGAAAGCGUGGGGAGCAAACAGG
rnacentral:rRNA from 1 species